AUGACUGUCAACUCUGUGUUCAGUGUGCAGGAGGUUUUUGUACGACCACUUCAUGAGUUUGUAUCACUGUGGUUGACUUUUGGUGGAGGAACCAAACUCAUCAUUGACUCCGGCUCCAGGGUCAGGCCCUCGGUCUCUCUGCUUCCCCCCUCCUCCCAGCAGCUCUCCGGGGGCUCGGCCACGCUGGCCUGCCUGCUGAGCGGCUACUCUCCUCCGGGAGCCGUGGUGAGCUGGGAGGUGGACGGCGCGGAGGUGACGGAGGGGGUCCUGACCAGCUCAGAGGAGGAGAAGAGCGGACGCUACAGCAGCAGCAGCACCCUGAGCCUGAGCCAGGAGCGCUGGAUGGAAGGAGAGCUGUACUCCUGCAAGGUCCUCCAUCACGACCACAGCCAGACCCAGUCCCUCCACAGGAGCCAGUGUGAGGCCUAGAGGGGCUGGCUGAAGCCCAGGACGGGAGCUGUGUGUGGGGGGAGCAGGAGGAACACACCUGCUGCUCUCAGCAACAUGACUUUUAAUGUUUGUAGAGGAAACUAAAGCUUUGUGUGACAGAGAACAGCACUGCUGUAAAGUGUUGGACAGCAACAACUUAGAGAGUAAUGUGUGUAGCUCAGCAGCGAGAUGUGAGUGUGCUUCAUAACUGUCAUGUUGAUGGUUGAUGUUUGUGCUAAUAAAGCUUGAACUGAUCAAUAACUUGA